rnacentral:rRNA from 1 species
UACGUAGGGACCGAGCGUUGUCCGGAUUCAUUGGGCGUAAAGAGCUCGUAGGCGGCUGUUCAAGUCGAACGUGAAAACUCGGAGCUCAACUCCGAGCCUGCGUUCGAUACUGGACGGCUAGAGUCUGGUAGGGGGAUCUGGAAUUCCUGGUGUAGCGGUGGAAUGCGCAGAUAUCAGGAGGAACACCUGUGGCGAAAGCGGCGCACUGGACCACAACUGACGCUGAGGCGCGAAAGCUAGGGGAGCAAACAGG